rnacentral:lncRNA from 1 species
AAAACAGCAAUGAAGUGAAUGCAACUGAUGCCUUCUCAAAAGUUUGCUACCUGCCAAGACUUUCAAGCAUGAAAAUAUCUUUAUUUUUCCCUUUUGAAAUUGAUGGGUAGGCCAUAUGGGAGAGAGGGAAAUACUGACAAAGAGGGCACCUCAAGAAAAGCACGCCUAUAAAAAUAAUGUGACAAACAAUGAAACAACACACAAACAGUUUGACAGAUAAGAGAGCAAAGGAUCACCACAAGCCCGUGAUUCUAGAGCAAGUGGUGACUUUAGUGUGUGGCUGUGCUCAUGCAUAUGGACCUUACAUAGCUGCAAUCAGCAUCUGCAUACCUACACCCAUUUGCUCAUUUUUAUGAAUUAACAAAUGUAAAGUAUUUCACCCACUACCUUCAAAUUAUAUAUACUUGGUCGGCACUUUAUUUCCUUCCCGUUCUGCCCCUUUAUAUAAAUAAGAAAAGUAUGAAAGAUUCA